UACGGGGGGUGCGAGCGUUAUUCGGAAUUACUGGGCGUAAAGAGCGCGUAGGCGGUCUUUUAAGUCAGGUGUGAAAGCCCGGGGCUCAACCCCGGAAGUGCACUUGAAACUAAGAGACUUGAGUAUGGGAGAGGGAAGUGGAAUUCCUGGUGUAGCGGUGAAAUGCGUAGAUAUCAGGAGGAACAUCGGUGGCGAAGGCGACUUCCUGGACCAAUACUGACGCUGAGGCGCGAAGGCGUGGGGAGCAAACAGGAUUAGAUACCCCCGUA
rnacentral:rRNA from 1 species